GGCCUUUUGUUUAUAAUUUAAGGUCUAGCCUGCCCACUGAAUUUUAAAGGGCCGCGGUACCCUGACCGUGCUAAGGUAGCAUAAUCAUUAGUUUUUUAAUUGAAAGCUGGAAUGAAUGGUUGGAUGAGAAAAUAACUGUCUCUGUUUAAUUUUAAUUGAAUUUUAUUUUUAAGUCAGAAAGCUUAAAUUUUUUUAAAAGACGAGAAGACCCUAUAGAGUUUUAUAAAAAAUUAAAUAUAAUUUUUUAGAAUUAUAACCUUAUUUUUAAUUUUUUAUUUGAUUGGGGCGAUUGGGAAAUUAAGUAAACUUUUCUUUGUGAGGAAUAUUAAUUAAUAGAUUUUUGAUCCAUAUAUUAUGAUUAUAAGAUUAAAUUACCUUAGGGAUAACAGCGUAAUUCUUUUUGAGAGUUCAAAUCGAAAGAAGAGUUUGCGACCUCGAUGUUGGAUUAAAAUUAAUUUUUGGUGUAGAGGCUAAAAAUAUUAGGUCUGUUCGACCUUUAAAAUUU
rnacentral:rRNA from 1 species